rnacentral:rRNA from 1 species
GUGCCAGCAGCCGCGGUAAUACGGAGGGGGCUAGCGUUGUUCGGAAUUACUGGGCGUAAAGCGCACGUAGGCGGACUGGAAAGUCAGGGGUGAAAUCCCGGGGCUCAACCCCGGAACUGCCUUUGAAACUAUCAGUCUAGAGGUCGAGAUAGGUGAGUGGAAUUCCGAGUGUAGAGGUGAAAUUCGUAGAUAUUCGGAGGAACACCAGUGGCGAAGGCGGCUCACUGGCUCGAUACUGACGCUGAGGUGCGAAAGCGUGGGGAGCAAACAGGAUUAGAUACCCGGGUAGUCC